rnacentral:rRNA from 1 species
UACGUAGGGGGCAAGCGUUGUCCGGAAUCAUUGGGCGUAAAGAGCGCGUAGGCGGUCCGGUAAGUCGGUUGUGAAAACUGGGGGCCCAACCCUCAGAGGCCGACCGAUACUGCCGGGCUAGAGUCCGGAAGAGGCGAGUGGAAUUCCUGGUGUAGCGGUGAAAUGCGCAGAUAUCAGGAGGAACACCAAUGGCGAAGGCAGCUCGCUGGGACGGUACUGACGCUGAGGCGCGAAAGCGUGGGGAGCAAACAGG